GGCCCCGCCCCUGGGCGGCCCGGGUGGGCGCGCGCCGCAGCGGCAAGCCCACGCCUCUGCCAGUGCUCUCGUACGCUUCGGCCCUGACGCACGCGUUCGUUAUCUCACCGGGCCGCUAUCUCAUCUCUUCAUCUACCUCAAUCUGAUUGAACGUACUUUAGUGAUCGAGUCGUGUGUGCUUGGUGAUUUCUACAUAUUUUCAUAGCUGACAACUGAACUAUUCCUGUUGGGCGGACCCAUUCAUAUUUACAUUGGUUACAGAAAAUAAUGGUAAUUGCUUGACCUGAUUGGAGGCAGCAGAAUGUUCGGAGGCAACGGGGGAGGGUAUGCGGGCAGCGGCGACUGCGCCGAGGGCUACGGGCUGGGCUACGUGGCGGGCGGAGGCCGCCUCCAGCAAUACGCGCACUUCCCGCACCAGAACGUCUGGCAUCACCAUCACACUCCGCACCACGACACCUACGGCAGUAGCAGCGUUGGUGGCGUCGGGUCCAUGGCUGGUGGCCUGUACCCCCAGAACAUGGUGAUGGGCUCCUGGUGCGCCCCAUACGACGCACUGCAGCGCCCCCCUGCAUACGAUGGCGGUCUGGAAUCAUACGAAGAGGGUCGUGAGUGUGUUAACUGCGGCGCCAAUAACACCCCGCUGUGGCGCAGGGACUCCACGGGGCACUACCUGUGCAACGCAUGCGGCCUCUACCACAAGAUCAACGGCGUGAACCGGCCGCUCGUCAAGCCCAGCAAGCGGCUGUCAGCCGCGCGGCGCCACGGGCAGUGCUGCACCAACUGCGGGUCGCGCAACACCACGCUGUGGCGGCGCAACAACGAGGGUGAGCCCGUCUGCAACGCCUGCGGACUCUACUACAAGCUGCAUGGAAUUAAUCGGCCAUUAGCAAUGCGGAAGGACGGGAUUCAAACAAGGAAAAGGAAACCGAAAAAGUCUGCUAAUGGAGCUAAAUCCGCACAAGAAAGUUCCAAGAAAGAAGGACAAUGCUCACCCGGCGUUGAUGAAAGCAAGCCAAGCGUUUCAGAAGUGCCAUUGCCUUUAACGGCGUCUAUGUCUAGUCACGGGUCCCUCUCGAAAGCCCGCGCUGAGGCACACUCGUCGGAGACGUCCCCUCACGCGCACUCGCACAGCCAAGGGCACGGGCAUACGCAGUACCCCCUGGGUCUGCCCGCGGCUCCUGGCUUCCUCUCCAACCCUUCGAUCUUCAACAUUAAGAGUGAACCAAACGCCCCCAACGGCUACGACGGAUACGCGACCCACUCUGGCAGCCAUUACCACUCGCAACAGCACUACUUGCACGCAUUACAGUACGGCCUCGGCAACAGCGAAGAAGAGGAAGGCAGCGGGUUCCUCCACCAGCGCAACGUGACCGCGCACGCCAAGCUCAUGGCCUCCACGUAGCGCUCCCCGAGCCUGUCCACUGGACGACACUGACUAACUCAUAGCUACACUUGAAUACUAUGUCAUUUAGGUGAACCUUACGCAAGUGGGAAGUCGUGCGGAAUAACAAUGGCGUAGCCGUGGCACCGCGCGGGCAACGCAAUUUGAGACAAUAUCACCCCACCAAUGCAUUCCACAAAUUAGAUAAUCAACAAAUGCCAAGGAAUCUGUCUUAGUUCUAAGUCUAUAAUGUAAGUUAUGUAUAUAACAAAUAUUUGAAAUAUUUAUGAAUACUGAUUUACUAUUGGGUGAGACAAAAUAGUUUUGCCAUAUUCAAUUUAAACUCUGAUUUCUUACAUUUAACAUGUUACAAAACCAGCACAGUGUAUUUAAGUAUAGAUAUCGAUGUAGAGAGAGGUAGUUCACGUUAUACAUACCUACUUGUAAAAAUAGAUUAUAUUUGACUGACUAGACUACUGCUACUGCUUAUUCCACUAAAGUGCUGGUAAUAAAGUACAACACCAGAGGGCCUACUACAAACUUGGAAAAUGUGUAUUUUGAUCUAUGUCACCAAGAGAAAAAAAAUUGUAGCUAAAUGUAUGCGGUAUGCCCCUCCCCCUUCCCUUGGCAAUCGGCCAUAUCAAGCAGGACUUACAUGACUUUAAAGUGUGAUCCGAUAGUAAUUCCAAUGAAGAUAGAUAAUUGCUGUAAACAGAGUAGUAUUAUUUAUAGACUAAGUAAAAUAAAUGGCAUUUAUAAUUAUUGUACAUAGUUUAGUCAAAGAACAAUGUAAUGAUUUAGAAUUAGAUUGUACGAAAUUUUAUUUCAAUAUCAAGCAUAGACUUUGUCACAACAUUGGCAAUAUCACAGUAAUGUUAAGCUAAAUACUUAAUUCCACAACAGUAAACUACACAAUAUGUUAUGUUGUAUAUAUUACAUUACAAAAAUAUACCCAUAAUGUUUGAUCA